AUGCUAGAUGGAGGUUCCAGUCUAGGCUGAAAACUAAAGUGGACCGAGCUUUUGCCGUCAGGGCCCCGAGGCUCUGGAAUGACCUACCAGAGGAAAUUAGGAUGUCAGAGUCAGUGUCUUCUUUUAAGUCUCUUCAAAAAAUAUACCUUGCCCCUAAUGUAUUUUAUCCUUCACUGUGGUAUUCAUUUAAUCUUUCUCUGUAGUGCAACAGAGAUAGUGAUAAGUCCUCUAUAAAUAAUGUGUAUUAUUAUUAUUAUAAUAAUUACUACAAUACUAGAGCUUUUACUCUAUUCAUUACACCUGAACCCAUAGAACAGCUAUAUAACCCUUUUACAUCCAGUUCAUAUUUCUUUUAAGUAUCUUUAAAGUUGGGAUCAAAUCAUCUUAUUCCAUUUUGGCUGAGUGUAUCACAAAAGUAUUCUUUAUCAGCUCGUUCCAGCUUUUCAUUAAAGCUAUGUGAUGCUUGCAAUGAGUGGAAUAUUCAAACCCUCGGUUUCAUGUUUUUCACGAUUGCACCAUAAUGUUUUACACAUUUCCCUAAAAUUCAGCCUGAUGUAUUUGGCAUCUUUGGAAACCUUGGGAUCUAAUAUACCUUUGUUGAAUUUAACAGUAUUUGGCUGCAAAGCAUGUGUUUGUACAGUCUGUCCUGAGAUUAAAGAGGUUAAUGAACAGCUGAAUAUACUUAAUGACUUGUAACAACAGAGGUCAACCAGGUCAGUGUUGGGUUCAUUUCUUGUAGAUCUAAAUGAGAAACAAGCUAAUGGCAAAAACUAGUAAAUAUGUUUUUGGAAAAUUAUCACUAUAUUUUUUUAAAAGUAGUAGCUGUAAUAGGUUUUACAUUAAUUGCCAUCAUUAUUUGUUCAACAUAAUGUACAGCAUCAACGUUCUCAAGGUCUGAACAUUGACUUCACAAUGACACUUUGAAGAAGAGUUUGAGAGAGAAAUGGAGGCAUUUUUCUGAUUGAUGGGGCAUGGAUUUCUAUUUUAGUCUAUAUAUGUUUCUAUCUCAAGUAUUAAUAGAACGCACAACAAAUAAAUCAUUAAUAUCUUCACAGAGUGUCAUUUCAUGGCAGACAAUAUAUUGGGAUUCUGUCAACAAUAAAAGUGUGCUGUACACCAUCUAAUCUGAACUUCAUCUAUCUAUAUCUUUCUUUAGGCUGGCAGUCAGGCACAAUGCACUUCAGCUCACUGAAGAACAAGACACAAUUGGUUUUCCAUCAGGGGCAUAGUGGCAUGAUGCAUCAGUAUUGUAAUGUUCAAUAUAUAAGGAAAUGCAACAACUUUUAAUCCUUGGAGCAAAAUCAAUACAACCACUAAAAAAAUGUAGUGCUGUAGCUCUGAAUAAAUAUAGUUGUAACACUCAUCUAUGCCAUCCUGUGCAAUAUGAAAACGUGUGAAAAUAACAUGCACAGACAGCAACUAUGAAGAGAUUAGUGCCAGCAGGGAUUGUCUUUAAACAGGAAUAAUAUAACUUGUCAUACCCAACUACUGAAUGUUCAUUACUUGACUACUGCUUAAAAUGAAAGACAUGCUGAAUAAACAGAUUUCAAAGUUGAAUCAAUAAAGAGCAAUUAAAAGACUGUAUCAGUUAUUAGAUACUUUCAGCUCCAUUGUAAACUUGAAUGAAUUCUCCAAAUAAAACUAGCAGCCACACAUGGAAACAACAACUCACGGUGGUAACUCUCUUUUGUUUUGAGCACAUUACAUAUUAUACAAAAUAAAUAACUGGAUACACACUUUAGUUUUAAAAACAGUUUUAUUAGUUUUCUAUUUGGGUGCACACAUUUAGUUAACUUUGUCAAUUUAGCCAAUUUCAGGUUCAUUAUAUUUAAGUUAUGUUCUGUGAAAUUAAUACCUUUCUUUUUGAGUUACCAGUUCCUGGGGAGUUGCUGCUGGGGGUCUCUGGCUGGCUGACAGACAAAAGGACUUUCAACUGACUCUAAGCUGUUUAUGUAGGGGAAUGGAUAAUUGGACUGUGCCAUGCUUCCCAUAUCAUGGGGGUGUCAGAGUACUCCAUUUUUGAGUUGUGUUCUUUUCUUUGCUAGUUAUACUUUGUUGUUAUGAUUAUGUGAUUGAUUUACCCAUAGUUCACAUUAGGUAGCGUUGGUUUAACAUGUGUUGUGGUUUGUUUAUAUAUUAUGUGUUUGUCUACCCACUUUGUGUCAGAAUGGCCUGAUCAGCCACUAUAUAAGUUUCCCCCAUGUCUCAGUCUUGUUAGAUCUGUUUAGUUAGUCUAGGUCUGUUUUGUUCAGCUUAUAUUAAGGUUAUGUUACCUGUUUAGCUGACCUCUUUUAUGGGCCCAGAAAUUUCUAUUUUGUUUAUGCUAAUAAAAAUAUAUAUUUUUUGGAAACUUA